UACGUAGGGAGCAAGCGUUGUCCGGAAUCACUGGGCUUAAAGGGCGCGUAGGCGGGCUGCCAAGUCCGUAGGUGAAAUCCCCCGGCUCAACCGGGGAACGGCCUCGGAUACUGGCGGCCUGGAGGGGGGUAGGGGCGUGCGGAACUGUGGGUGGAGCGGUGAAAUGCGUUGAGAUCCACAGGAACUCCGGUGGCGAAGGCGGCACGCUGGACCCUUUCUGACGCUGAGGCGCGAAAGCCAGGGGAGCGAACGGG
rnacentral:rRNA from 1 species